rnacentral:rRNA from 1 species
CACGGGGAGGUAGUGACGAAAAAUAACGAUACGGGACUCAUCCGAGGCCCCGUAAUCGGAAUGAGUACACUCUAAACCCUUUAACGAAAAACAAUUGGAGGGCAAGUCUGGUGCCAGCAGCCGCGGUAAUUCCAGCUCCAAUAGCGUAUAUUAAAGUUGUUGCGGUUAAAAAGCUCGUAGUCGAAUCUGUGUCCCGUGCCGCUGGUUCAUCGCUCGCGGUGUUUAACUGGCGUGUUCACGGGACGUCCUGCCGGUGGGCUCUUCGGUUCGAUUGCUCUUCGGGGUGACCGGCCGUGUGGCCCAACUCGCGUUUCGGCCUCGCGUCGAGCGUGAAUCCCAUCGCGGUGCUCUUUAUCGAGUGUCGAGGUGGGCCGGCACGUUUACUUUGAACAAAUUAGAGUGCUUAAAGCAGGCCUUGUAUCGCCUGAAUAUUGUGUGCAUGGAAUAAUGGAAUAGGACCUCGGUUCUAUUUUGUUGGUUUUCGGAACCCCGAGGUAAUGAUUAAUAGGAACGGAUGGGGGCAUUCGUAUUGCGACGUUAGAGGUGAAAUUCUUGGAUCGUCGCAAGACGGACAUAAGCGAAAGCAUUUGCCAAAAACGCUUUCAUUGAUCAAGAACGAAAGUUAGAGGUUCGAAGGCGAUCAGAUACCGCCCUAGUUCUAACCAUAAACGAUGCCAGCUAGCGAUCCGCCGAAGUUCCUUAUAUGACUCGGCGGGCAGCUUCCGGGAAACCAAAGCUUUUGGGUUCCGGGGGAAGUAUGGUUGCAAAGCUGAAACUUAAAGGAAUUGACGGAAGGGCACUACCAGGAGUGGAGCCUGCGGCUUAAUUUGACUCAACACGGGAAACCUCACCAGGCCC